rnacentral:rRNA from 1 species
UACGAGGGGUGCAAGCGUUAUUCGGAAUCAUUGGGCGUAAAGGGUGCGUAGGCGGCAUAUUAAGUCAGCUGUUAAAUUUCCCGGCCUAACCGGGAGUAUGCGGUCGAUACUGAUGUGCUAGAGGGUGGAAGAGAGAAGUGGAAUUCUCGGAGUAGCGGUAAAAUGCGUAGAUCUCGAGAGGAACACCGAUGGCGAAGGCAGCUUCUUGGUCCACAUCUGACGCUGAGUGCACGAAAGCGUGGGGAGCAAACAGG